GACGAACGCUGGCGGCGUGCUUAACACAUGCAAGUCGAACGGAAAGGCCCUGCUUCUGUGGGGUGCUCGAGUGGCGAACGGGUGAGUAACACGUGAGUAACCUGCCCUUGACUUUGGGAUAACUUCAGGAAACUGGGGCUAAUACCGGAUAGGAGCUCCUGCUGCAUGGUGGGGGUUGGAAAGUUUCGGCGGUUGGGGCUGGACUGGCGGGUUAUCAGCUUGUUGGUGGGGUAGGUGCUGACCAAGGCUUUGACGGAUAGCCGGCCUGAGAGGGUGACCGGGCACAUGGGGACUGCGAGACGGACCAGACUCCUACGUGAGGCAGUAGUGGGGAAUAUUGCACAAUGGGCGGAAGCCUGAUGCAGCAACGCUGCGUGCGGGAUGACGGCCUUCGGGUUGUAAACCGCUUUCGCCUGUGACGAAGCGUGAGUGACGGUAAUGGGUAAAGAAGCACCGGCUAACUACGUG
rnacentral:rRNA from 1 species